GAUGAACGCUGGCGGCGUGCCUAAUACAUGCAAGUCGAGCGAACAGACGAGAGUGCUUGCACUCUCUGACGUUAGCGGCGGACGGGUGAGUAACACGUGGGUAACCUACCUAUAAGACUGGGAUAACUUCGGGAAACCGGAGCUAAUACCGGAUAAUAUUUAGCUUCGCAUGAAGCAAUAGUGAAAGACGGUUCUGCUGUCACUUAUAGAUGGACCCGCGGUGUAUUAGCUAGUUGGUGAGGUAACGGCUCACCAAGGCAACGAUACAUAGCCGACCUGAGAGGGUGAUCGGCCACACUGGGACUGAGACACGGCCCAGACUCCUACGGGUGGCAGCAGUAGGGAAUCUUCCGCAAUGGACGAAAGUCUGACGGAGCAAUGCCGCGUGAGUGAAGAAGGUUUUCGGAUCGUAAAACUCUGUUGUAAGGGAAGAACAAGUACGUUAGUAACUGAACGUACCUUGACGGUACCUUACCAGAAAGCCACGGCUAACUACGUG
rnacentral:rRNA from 1 species